UGUAUCGUUGAUCACACGUAUAAUAUCAGGAUCCAGUGAAAGUAGUUCUGGCAUGUGACAAGGAUUCCUCCUGGGCGUCUCCUAGGUGAGGUGUACUGGCCGUGUCCAACCAGGAGGAGGCCCUGGAUCAGACCCAGGACCUGAUGGAGUUCCCCUGGAUAAGCUGGAGGAGGUGGCUGUGGAGAGGGAGGACACCAGGAGAGAUGAGCAUAUCCAGCCCACAUCUGCAGCAACUGUACUUAAUGGAAGUUGGGACAAUGUUAAAGACUUUCUUCAAGCAAUUGCACUUGGAUUAGCUAAAUUC